rnacentral:rRNA from 1 species
UACGUAGGGGGCUAGCGUUGUCCGGAAUCAUUGGGCGUAAAGAGCGUGUAGGCGGUCCGGUAAGUCCGCUGUGAAAGUCGGGGGCUCAACCCUCGAAUGCCGGUGGAUACUGUCGGGCUAGAGUGCGGAAGAGGCGAGUGGAAUUCCUGGUGUAGCGGUGAAAUGCGCAGAUAUCAGGAGGAACACCUAUUGCGAAGGCAGCUCGCUGGGACGUUACUGACGCUGGAGACGCGAAAGCGUGGGGAGCAAACAGG